ACGAACGCUGGCGGCGUGCUUAACACCUGCAAGUCGAACGGUGAAGCGCCUUCCUUUUUGGUGGGUGUGGAUGAGUGGCGAACGGGUGAGUAACACGUGAGUAACCUGCCCCCUUCUUCUGGAUAACCGCAUGAAAGUGUGGCUAAUACGGGAUAUUCUGGGUCUGUCGCAUGAUGGGUCUGGGAAAGAUAUUGUUUCGGUGGGGGAUGGGCUCGCGGCCUAUCAGCUUGUUGGUGGGGUGAUGGCCUACCAAGGCGGUGACGGGUAGCCGGCCUGAGAGGGUGGACGGUCACACUGGGACUGAGACACGGCCCAGACUCCUACGGGAGGCAGCAGGGGGGAAUAUUGCACAAUGGGCGCAAGCCUGAUGCAGCGACGCCGCGUGAGGGAUGGAGGCCUUCGGGUUGUGAACCUCUUUCGCCAGUGAAGCAGGCCUGCCUCGUUUGUGGGUGGGUUGACGGUAGCUGGAGAAGAAGCGCCGGCUAACUACGUG
rnacentral:rRNA from 1 species